AACGCGAAGAACCUUACCAGGUCUUGACAUCCCCAUGACCUCUCUAGAGAUAGAGAUUUCCCUUCGGGGACAUGGGUGACAGGUGGUGCAUGGUUGUCGUCAGCUCGUGUCGUGAGAUGUUGGGUUAAGUCCCGCAACGAGCGCAACCCUUGAUCUUAGUUGCCAGCAUUUAGUUGGGCACUCUAAGGUGACUGCCGGUGACAAACCGGAGGAAGGUGGGGAUGACGUCAAAUCAUCAUGCCCCUUAUGACCUGGGCUACACACGUGCUACAAUGGAUGGUACAAAGAGCAGCGAAACCGCGAGGUCGAGCCAAUCUCAUAAAGCCAUUCUCAGUUCGGAUUGUAGGCUGCAACUCGCCUACAUGAAGCCGGAAUUGCUAGUAAUCGCGGAUCAGCAUGCCGCGGUGAAUACGUUCCCGGGCCUUGUACACACCG
rnacentral:rRNA from 1 species